GUGAUACCCACAAUGGCAAUCAUUUGAAUACGAGAUAUCCAGCCUUUACAAACUGACCUACAAAUCAAAGGGCGAGUCUGCAGGGUGUGGAGAGUGAAGAAAUACAGACCUGUUCCUAGAAACAAUGGUCUUCAGUUUGUUUUAGUUAAUGAGAAGAACGAGGCAAUCCAAGGAUCUUUUCUAGAAGCAUACUACACCACAAUAAGGACUGGUCCGAUUGCAGCUGUAUAAGAAUAUUGUCUGGGUUUUCUUUAAAGCUCUGAUCUGUGGAUGGAAGUUGAGGGUUUCGUGGUUGUGUGUUUUUGAUUGUGUUGUUUUUUGGUCAAAUUAAGUUUUGGGUAUGGUUUGUUUCAUGUUUGAUUGUGUAGUUUUGAUUCUUUAAGUGAUAAAUUUAUUGUAUGUAUUUGCAGCUAUAGUCAAAAGAUUGAAUCGGUUUUUGUCAUCAGAACGAAUGAACUUGGUAUGUCAAUGUUCCUCAAGAAAUCAACAGGCUGAGGUGCGGGGUGAACUAUCACGGUCUUAAAUUUCUUCCCGAGAUAGAGCAGAUGGCUGAUUUAUUGGCAUCAAGGAUGAGAAACCGCAGUGGAAGUUCCAAUCCUUAUAUGUUAUGGAGGUCAUGAAGAUAUUGGAGAUUGACCUUGAAAGUGGAUGGAUUUUGCCCAAGUUAUUUCAGGAUUAUUUGUGA
rnacentral:lncRNA from 1 species